CCGCGGAGUGAUGGUGGCCUCAGCGAAGAUGGGCCGGGCAGGGACCAUGGCGGUGGCAGCAGAGGUGGCAGGGGCGGGGCGGCUGGCGGUAGAGGAGGCUGUGGUCCUCAGGGGGCUGUAGGUGGAGGUAUGGCUCGGGCCAGCAGCGGGAACGGCAGCGAGGAGGCCUGGGGGGCACUUCGGGCGCCGCAACAGCAGACUGAUUCUUGCUAUUCCAAAUCCUCUUCCACGUUGACAGCCCUUCAGAUAUUUCAACACUCCUCUCAGCAUCCUCCACUUCCCCCAUCUCUCCAAGCUGAACUUGGUUCACAGGCUUCGAGAGCUGUGCCCAGGAGUGAACAACCAGCCCUAUCUCUGUGAGAGUGGUCACUGCUGCGGGGAGACUGGCUGCUGCACCUACUACUAUGAGCUCUGGUGGUUCUGGCUGCUCUGGACUGUCCUCAUCCUCUUUAGCUGCUGUUGCGCCUUCCGCCACCGACGAGCUAAACUCAGGCUGCAACAACAGCAGCGGCAGCGUGAAAUCAACUUGUUGGCCUAUCAUGGGGCAUGCCAUGGGGCUGGUCCUUUCCCUACCGGUUCACUGCUUGACCUUCGCCUCCUCAGCACCUUCAAGCCCCCAGCCUAUGAGGAUGUGGUUCACCGCCCAGGCACACCACCCCCGCCUUAUACUGUGGCCCCAGGCCGCCCCUUGACUGCUUCCAGUGAACAAUCCUGCUGUUCCUCCUCAUCCAGCUGCCCUGCCCACUUUGAAGGAACAAAUGUGGAAGGUGUUUCCUCCCACCAGAGUGCCCCCCAUCAUCAGGAUGGUGAGCCUGGGGCAGGGGUGACCCCUGCCCCCACACCCCCCUCCUGCCGCUAUCGCCGUUUAACUGGCGACUCCGGUAUUGAGCUCUGCCCUUGUCCUGCCUCCGGUGAGGGUGAGCCAGUCAAGGAGGUGAGGGUUAGUGCCACCCUGCCAGAUCUGGAGGACUACUCCCCGUGUGCACUGCCCCCAGAUUCUGUACCGCAGAUCUUUCCCAUGGGGCUGUCUUCCAGUGAAGGAGACAUCCCAUAAGUAGUUUUGAGAGGG
rnacentral:sRNA from 1 species